rnacentral:rRNA from 1 species
UACGGAGGGGGCAAGCGUUGUUCGGAAUUACUGGGCGUAAAGGGCGCGCAGGCGGCUGCUCAAGUCAGGCGUGAAAGGCCUGGGCUCAACCCGGGAAUUGCGCUUGAGACUGGGCUGGCUUGAGUGCGGGAGAGGAUGGUGGAAUUCCCAGUGUAGAGGUGAAAUUCGUAGAUAUUCGCAAGAACACCAGUGGCGGAAGGCGGACUCACUGGCCCGGAACUGGAC